GAUGGCAGCGAUAACGAUGGGGUGGCGGACGACAUUGCGAUGGAUGAUAUUAGUGAGGAGAGCUAAGUCAAGAAAGCCCUCCGCCUCAGUGAGUCUUUGCGAUGCGAGACUCCUCCGCGUUUUGAAGGAGGUUGAAAAGGGGUAAGAUAUAUUGAGGGGACCAUUGGACUUGACAACGGUAAUUUAUUAAUCUGCGCUUUUGUGUAUAAUCUCUAUAUCCGCCAUUGAAUUUGGCAGUUUAAAGUUUGUAAGGGUUCUAGAAAUCUAUCCCCGGAGGUCCUGAGCGAGUCUGGGUCCUUGUAAACUCCAAAACGGAGGUUUCAGCACCUGAUAUAACCCGAGGGGAAUAGGAACACAUCUUCCUCAAUCAUGCUUGUUGGAAUUUCAUACUCGUAGAUGCCUUCGGAACAGUAUUCCCCAAAUCCACAUAAUUAAUAUCUAUCCGCG
rnacentral:sRNA from 1 species